rnacentral:tRNA from 1 species
GUCAUGGUAGCGCAGUGGUUAGUGCUGUGGGCUGCUAUGCUGAUGACCCAGGUUCAAUUCCUGGGCAAGUUA